rnacentral:rRNA from 1 species
UACGGAGGGUGCGAGCGUUGUCCGGAAUCAUUGGGCGUAAAGGGCGCGUAGGUGGCCCGGUCAGUUCGUGGUGAAAUCCCCGGGCUCAACCCGGGAACUGCGUCCGAUACUGGCAGGCUUGAAUCCGGGAGAGGGAUGCGGAAUUCCAGGUGUAGCGGUGAAAUGCGCAGAUAUCAGGAGGAACACCAGCGGCGAAGGCGGCGCUCUGGGCCGGUGACUGACACUGAGGGAGCGAAAGCGUGGGUAGCAAACAGG